UACUGUGAGAAGGAUGUGGUUCUGUGUGUCAGGUCAGUAGAGGUCAGUCUCAGUACUGUGAGAAGGAUGUGGUUCUGUGUGUCAGGUCAGUAGAGGUCAGUCUCAGUACUGUGAGAAGGAUGUGGUUCUGUGUGUCAGGUCGGUAGAGGUCAGUCUCAGUACUGUGAGAAGGAUGUGGUUCUGUGUGUCAGGUCAGUAGAGGUCAGUCUCAGUACUGUGAGAAGGAUGUGGUUCUGUGUGUCAGGUCAGUAGAGGUCAGUCUCAGUACUGUGAGAAGGAUGUGGUACUGUGUG